GGUGAAAAGCACCCCGGAAGGGGAGUGAAAUAGAACCUGAAACCGUGUGCUUACAAGUAGUCAGAGCCCGUUAAUGGGUGAUGGCGUGCCUUUUGUAGAAUGAACCGGCGAGUUACGAUUUGAUGCAAGGUUAAGCAGUAAAUGUGGAGCCGUAGCGAAAGCGAGUCUGAAUAGGGCGUUUAGUAUUUGGUCGUAGACCCGAAACCAGGUGAUCUACCCUUGGUCAGGUUGAAGUUCAGGUAACACUGAAUGGAGGACCGAACCGACUUACGUUGAAAAGUGAGCGGAUGAACUGAGGGUAGCGGAGAAAUUCCAAUCGAACCUGGAGAUAGCUGGUUCUCUCCGAAAUAGCUUUAGGGCUAGCCUCAAGUGAUGAUUAUUGGAGGUAGAGCACUGUUUGGACGAGGGGCCCCUCUCGGGUUACCGAAUUCAGACAAACUCCGAAUGCCAAUUAAUUUAACUUGGGAGUCAGAACAUGGGUGAUAAGGUCCGUGUUCGAAAGGGAAACAGCCCAGACCACCAGCUAAGGUCCCAAAAUAUAUGUUAAGUGGAAAAGGAUGUGGCGUUGCCCAGACAACUAGGAUGUUGGCUUAGAAGCAGCCAUCAUUUAAAGAGUGCGUAAUAGCUCACUAGUCGAGUGACACUGCGCCGAAAAUGUACCGGGGCUAAACAUAUUACCGAAGCUGUGGAUUGUCCUUUGGACAAUGGUAGGAGAGCGUUCUAAGGGCGUUGAAGCAUGAUCGUAAGGACAUGUGGAGCGCUUAGAAGUGAGAAUGCCGGUGUGAGUAGCGAAAGACGGGUGAGAAUCCCGUCCACCGAUUGACUAAGGUUUCCAGAGGAAGGCUCGUCCGCUCUGGGUUAGUCGGGUCCUAAGCUGAGGCCGACAGGCGUAGGCGAUGGAUAACAGGUUGAUAUUCCUGUACCACCUAUAAUCGUUUUAAUCGAUGGGGGGACGCAGUAGGAUAGGCGAAGCGUGCGAUUGGAUUGCACGUCUAAGCAGUAAGGCUGAGUAUUAGGCAAAUCCGGUACUCAUUAAGGCUGAGCUGUGAUGGGGAGAAGACAUUGUGUCUUCGAGUCGUUGAUUUCACACUGCCGAGAAAAGCCUCUAGAUAGAAAAUAGGUGCCCGUACCGCAAACCGACACAGGUAGUCAAGAUGAGAAUUCUAAGGUGAGCGAGCGAACUCUCGUUAAGGAACUCGGCAAAAUGACCCCGUAACUUCGGGAGAAGGGGUGCUCUUUAGGGUUAACGCCCAGAAGAGCCGCAGUGAAUAGGCCCAAGCGACUGUUUAUCAAAAACACAGGUCUCUGCUAAACCGUAAGGUGAUGUAUAGGGGCUGACGCCUGCCCGGUGCUGGAAGGUUAAGAGGAGUGGUUAGCUUCUGCGAAGCUACGAAUCGAAGCCCCAGUAAACGGCGGCCGUAACUAUAACGGUCCUAAGGUAGCGAAAUUCCUUGUCGGGUAAGUUCCGACCCGCACGAAAGGCGUAACGAUUUGGGCACUGUCUCAACGAGAGACUCGGUGAAAUCAUAGUACCUGUGAAGAUGCAGGUUACCCGCGACAGGACGGAAAGACCCCGUGGAGCUUUACUGUAGCCUGAUAUUGAAAUUCGGCACAGCUUGUACAGGAUAGGUAGGAGCCUUUGAAACGUGAGCGCUAGCUUACGUGGAGGCGCUGGUGGGAUACUACCCUAGCUGUGUUGGCUUUCUAACCCGCACCACUUAUCGUGGUGGGAGACAGUGUCAGGCGGGCAGUUUGACUGGGGCGGUCGCCUCCUAAAAGGUAACGGAGGCGCUCAAAGGUUCCCUCAGAAUGGUUGGAAAUCAUUCAUAGAGUGUAAAGGCAUAAGGGAGCUUGACUGCGAGACCUACAAGUCGAGCAGGGUCGAAAGACGGACUUAGUGAUCCGGUGGUUCCGCAUGGAAGGGCCAUCGCUCAACGGAUAAAAGCUACCCCGGGGAUAACAGGCUUAUCUCCCCCAAGAGUUCACAUCGACGGGGAGGUUUGGCACCUCGAUGUCGGCUCAUCGCAUCCUGGGGCUGUAGUCGGUCCCAAGGGUUGGGCUGUUCGCCCAUUAAAGCGGUACGCGAGCUGGGUUCAGAACGUCGUGAGACAGUUCGGUCCCUAUCCGUCGUGGGCGUAGGAAAUUUGAGAGGAGCUGUCCUUAGUACGAGAGGACCGGGAUGGACAUACCUCUGGUGUACCAGUUGUCGUGCCAACGGCAUAGCUGGGUAGCUAUGUGUGGACGGGAUAAGUGCUGAAAGCAUCUAAGCAUGA
rnacentral:rRNA from 1 species